UCGCGCGAGAAACUUCGCUUUAAGUGCGCGGAAGGUUUUUUAUGGUAGAGAAACCCACGAGCGCGCCUUUAUUUUCAAUAAUUUCCGCGAAAUAUUACGAAAUACUAGAAUAAAGAGAGAAGCAAAAAACAAAAAUAAACAAAU